GCGGGUGUGGCGGAACUGGUAGACGCGCUAGACUUAGGAUCUAGUGGAUUAUCCGUGGGGGUUCGAGUCCCUUCACCCGCACCA
rnacentral:tRNA from 1 species